AUUGAACGCUGGCGGCAGGCCUAACACAUGCAAGUCGAACGGAUCACUGGGCUUGCCUAGUGGUCAGUGGCGAACGGGUGAGUAACACGUGAGCAACCUGCCCCUGACUCUGGGAUAACUCCGGGAAACCGGGGCUAAUACCGGAUACGACAUCGCCUCGCAUGGGGUGGUGUGGAAAGGGUCUACUGGUUGGGGAUGGGCUCGCGGCCUAUCAGCUUGUUGGUGGGGUGAUGGCUCACCAAGGCGACGACGGGUAGCCGGCCUGAGAGGGUGACCGGCCACACUGGGACUGAGACACGGCCCAG
rnacentral:rRNA from 1 species